UACCUGGCGGCAGGCUACACCUGCAGUUAACGGUACAGGAUAGCUUGCUAUCGCUGACGAGUGGCGGACGGGUGAGUAAUACUUAGGGAUCUGCCUCUGUGUGGGGGAUAACUAUUGGAAACGAUAGCUAAUACCGCAUAAUGUCUACGGACCAAAGCGGGCUUCGGCUCGUGCGCAGAGAGGAACCUAAGCGAGAUUAGCUAGUUGGUGAGGUAAAGGCUCACCAAUGGCGACGAUCUCUAGCUGUUCUGAGAGGAAGAUCAGCCACACUGGAACUGAGACACGGUCCAGACUCCUACGGGAGGCAGCAGUGGGGAAUAUUGCACAAUGGGGGAAACCCUGAUGCAGCCAUGCCGCGUGUGUGAAGAAGGCCUUCGGGUUGUAAAGCACUUUCAGUUGUGAGGAAAGUUUAGUAGUUAAUACCUGCUAGAUGUGACGUUAGCAACAGAAGAAGCACCGGCUAACUCCGUGCCAGCAGCCGCAGGUAAUACGGAGGGUGCGAGCGUUAAUCGGAAUUGCUGGGCGUAAAGCGCACGCAGGCGG
rnacentral:rRNA from 1 species